GCCCGGGUGGUGAAAUUGGUAGACACAAGGGACUUAAAAUCCCUCGCCCGUAUAGGGCAUGUCGGUUCAAGUCCGACCCCGGGUACUA
rnacentral:tRNA from 1 species